rnacentral:misc_RNA from 1 species
UCCGGCUCUACGCCGGCAGUCUCUCUAGAGUCCCCGCCAUUACGCGCUGGCAACUAAAGACGGGGGUUGCGCUCGUUGCGGGACUUAACCCAACACCUCACGGCACGAGCUGACGACAGCCAUGCAGCACCUGUACAGGUGUCCCGAAGGACACGGGCUUUCACCCGCUUUAACUAGCAUGUCAAGCCCAGGUAAGGUUCUUCGCGUUGCGUCGAAUUAAACCACAUGCUCCACCGCUUGUGCGGGCCCCCGUCAAUUCCUUUGAGUUUCAGCCUUGCGGCCGUACUCCCCAGGCGGGGCACUUAAUGCGUUAGCGCCGGCACCCAGGGGGUCGCUCCCCCAGGCACCUAGUGCCCAUCGUUUACGGCGUGGACUAC